CCAACUUUAAAACCAUUGCUGUUGGAGGUUACUUCCUUUCUAGGUUAAGUGACUCAUGAAACGGUGAUGACCUGAGGAUUGGGACAU